UACAGAGGUGGCAAGCGUUGUUCGGAAUUACUGGGCGUAAAGAGCAUGUAGGCGGCUCUUCAAGUCAGGCGUGAAAGCCCCAGGCUCAACCUGGGAACUGCGCUUGAUACUGUCGAGCUAGAGUGUGGAAGGGGCGAUUGGAAUUCCGUGUGUAGCGGUGAAAUGCGUAGAUAUACGGAGGAACACCAGAGGCGAAGGCGGAUCGCUGGGCCAACACUGACGCUAAAGUGCGAAAGCCAGGGUAGCAAACGGG
rnacentral:rRNA from 1 species